rnacentral:rRNA from 1 species
AGCUCCAAUAGCGUAUAUUAAAGUUGUUGCGGUAAAAGCUCGUAGUUGGAUUUCUGUUGAGGAUGGGCGGUCCGCACCAUGUGCGCUGAUCUGCUUCAGCCUCGGCAUCCUCUCGGAAGACGCUUCUGCGCUUCAUUGCGUGGAGCGGAUCUCGGGACUUUUACUUUGAGGAAAUUAGAGUGUUCACGGCAGGCUUUCGCCCGAAUACAUUAGCAUGGAAUAAUACUAUAGGAUCUCGGUUCUAUUUUGUUGGUUUCUAGAAGCGAGAUAAUGGUUAAUAGGGACAAUUGGGGGCAUUCGUAUCAACACGUCAGAGGUGGAAUUCUUGGAUUGUGUUGCGACGAACUACUGCGAAAGCAUUUGCCAAGGAUGUUUUCA